rnacentral:rRNA from 1 species
UACGAAGGGGCUAGCGUUGCUCGGAAUCACUGGGCGUAAAGCGCACGUAGGCGGAUUGUUAAGUCGGGGGUGAAAUCCUGGAGCUCAACUCCAGAACUGCCUUUGAUACUGGCGAUCUCGAGUCCGGGAGAGGUGAGUGGAACUGCGAGUGUAGAGGUGAAAUUCGUAGAUAUUCGCAAGAACACCAGUGGCGAAGGCGGCUCACUGGCCCGGUACUGACGCUGAGGUGCGAAAGCGUGGGGAGCAACAGG